UAGGGAAUAUUGCACAAUGGAGGAAACUCUGAUGCAGCGACGCCGCGUGAGUGAUGAAGGCCUUCGGGUUGUAAAGCUCUGUUCUCAGGGAAAAAGCAAGUGAUUGUACCUGAGGAGAAAGGACCGGCUAACUUCGUGCCAGCAGCCGCGGUAAGACGAGGGGUCCAAGCGUUGUUCGGAAUUAUUGGGCGUAAAGCGGGUGUAGGUGGAUCUAUAAGUCAGGAGUGAAAGCCCCGAGCUUAACUUGGGAAGUGCUUUUGAUACUGUAGAUCUUGAAUGUGGGAGAGGAUCGUGGAAUUCCAGGUGUAGUGGUGAAAUACGUAGAUAUCUGGAGGAACACCGGUGGCGAAGGCGGCGAUCUGGCCCAACAUUGACACUGAGACCCGAAAGUGCGGGGAUCAAACAGG
rnacentral:rRNA from 1 species